UACGGGGGGAGCAAGCGUUGUUCGGAUUUACUGGGCGUAAAGGGCGCGUAGGCGGGAUGGCAAGUCGGUCGUGAAAUCCUUCGGCUCAACCGAAGAACGUCGGCCGAUACUGCCAUUCUUGAGGGAUGCAGAGGAGACUGGAAUUCCCGGUGUAGCGGUGAAAUGUGUAGAGAUCGGGAGGAACACCGGUGGCGAAGGCGGGUCUCUGGGCAUUUCCUGACGGCUGAGGCGCGAAAGCGUGGGGAGCAAACGGG
rnacentral:rRNA from 1 species